rnacentral:rRNA from 1 species
UACGCGAGGGGCGAACGUUGUUCGGUGUCACUGGGCUUAAAGGGUGCGUAGGUGGUUUCGUAAGUAAGGUGUGAAAGCCCUCGGCUUACCCGGGGAAUUGCGCCUUAUACUGCGAGACUUGAGGAUUUCAGGGGAAUGGGGAACUCCAGGUGUAGCGGUGAAAUGCGCAGAUAUCUGGGGGAAGGCCGGCGGCGAAGGCGCCAUUCUGGGAAAUUCCUGACACUGAGGCACGAAAGCGUGGGGAGCAAACAGG